rnacentral:rRNA from 1 species
GGGUAACAGAAAAGCUUGCUUUUGCUGACGACCGGCGCACGGGUGCGUAACGCGUAUGCAACCUACCUCAUACUGGAGGAUAGCCCCUGGAAACGGGGAUUAAUACUCCAUAGUAUCACAAUUUCGCAUGUUAUUGUGAUUAAAGUUUUUCGGUAUGAGAUGGGCAUGCGUCCCAUUAGCUUGUUGGUGAGGUAACGGCUCACCAAGGCAACGAUGGGUAGGGGGCCUGAGAGGGUGGUCCCCCACACUGGUACUGAGACACGGACCAGACUCCUACGGGAGGCAGCAGUGAGGAAUAUUGGUCAAUGGAGGAAACUCUGAACCAGCCAUGCCGCGUGAAGGAUGACGGCCCUAUGGGUUGUAAACUUCUUUUAUAGAGGAAGAAACUUGUCUACGUGUAGACAACUGACGGUACUCUACGAAUAAGGAUCGGCUAACUCCGUGCCAGCAGCCGCGGUAAUACGGAGGAUCCAAGCGUUAUCCGGAUUCAUUGGGUUUAAAGGGUCCGUAGGCGGAUUUUUAAGUCAGUGGUGAAAGCCGACAGCUCAACUGUCGAACUGCCAUUGAUACUGGAAAUCUUGAGUACAAAUGAAGUAGGCGGAAUGAGUCAUGUAGCGGUGAAAUGCAUAGAUAUGACUCAGAACACCGAUUGCGAAGGCAGCUUACUAACAUGUAACUGACGCUGAGGGACGAAAGCGUGGGGAGCGAACAGGAUUAGAUACCCUGGUAGUCCACGCCGUAAACGAUCAUCACUCGCUGUUGGCGAUAUACUGUCAGCGGCCAAGCGAAAGUAUUAAGUGAUGCACCUGGGGAGUACGCCGGCAACGGUGAAACUCAAAGGAAUUGACGGGGGCCCGCACAAGCGGUGGAGCAUGUGGUUUAAUUCGAUGAUACGCGAGGAACCUUACCAGGGCUUAAAUGUAGUAUGACCGGCUUGGAAACAGGCCUUCUCUUCGGAGCAGAUUACAAGGUGCUGCAUGGUUGUCGUCAGCUCGUGCCGUGAGGUGUUAGGUUAAGUCCUGCAACGAGCGCAACCCCUAUUCUUAGUUGCCAGCGGUUCGGCCGGGG